rnacentral:rRNA from 1 species
AGUUUGAAUCAUGGCUCAGGACGAACGCUGGCGGCGUGCUUAACACAUGCAAGUCGAACGAUGAACCACCUUCGGGUGGGGAUUAGUGGCGAACGGGUGAGUAACACGUGGGCAAUCUGCCCUGCACUCUGGGACAAGCCCUGGAAACGGGGUCUAAUACCGGAUACUGAACCGCUUGGGCAUCCAGGCGGUUCGAAAGCUCCGGCGGUGCAGGAUGAGCCCGCGGCCUAUCAGCUUGUUGGUGAGGUAACGGCUCACCAAGGCGACGACGGGUAGCCGGCCUGAGAGGGCGACCGGCCACACUGGGACUGAGACACGGCCCAGACUCCUACGGGAGGCAGCAGUGGGGAAUAUUGCACAAUGGGCGAAAGCCUGAUGCAGCGACGCCGCGUGAGGGAUGACGGCCUUCGGGUUGUAAACCUCUUUCAGCAGGGAAGAAGCGAAAGUGACGGUACCUGCAGAAGAAGCGCCGGCUAACUACGUGCCAGCAGCCGCGGUAAUACGUAGGGCGCGAGCGUUGUCCGGAAUUAUUGGGCGUAAAGAGCUCGUAGGCGGCUUGUCGCGUCGGUUGUGAAAGCCCGGGGCUUAACCCCGGGUCUGCAGUCGAUACGGGCAGGCUAGAGUUCGGUAGGGGAGAUCGGAAUUCCUGGUGUAGCGGUGAAAUGCGCAGAUAUCAGGAGGAACACCGGUGGCGAAGGCGGAUCUCUGGGCCGAUACUGACGCUGAGGAGCGAAAGCGUGGGGAGCGAACAGGAUUAGAUACCCUGGUAGUCCACGCCGUAAACGGUGGGCACUAGGUGUGGGCGACAUUCCACGUCGUCCGUGCCGCAGCUAACGCAUUAAGUGCCCCGCCUGGGGAGUACGGCCCGCAAGGCUAAAACUCAAAUGAAUUUGACGGGGAA